rnacentral:rRNA from 1 species
UACGUAGGGUGCGAGCGUUGUCCGGAAUUAUUGGGCGUAAAGAGCUCGUAGGCGGUGUGUCACGUCGGCCGUGAAAACCUGCAGCUUAACUGUGGGCGUGCGGUCGAUACGGGCAUCACUGGAGUUCGGCAGGGGAGAGACUGGAAGUUCCUGGUGUAGCGGUGGAAUGCGCAGAUAUCAGGAGGAACACCGGUGGCGAAGGCGGGUCUCUGGGCAGUAACUGACGCUGGAGGAGCGAAAGCGUGGGGAGCGAACAGG